UGCUAGCCUGGAGACACCCCGACGAGACGCGCCGUACCGGGUUGACGACAAGACGACGCACC
rnacentral:ncRNA from 1 species